GACAGAGGAGCCAAGCGUUGUCCGGAUUGACUGGGCGUAAAGCGCACGCAGGCGGUCGCGCGCGUGGGGUGUGAAAUCUGGCCGCUUAACGGCCAGGCGCCAUCCCAUACGGCGCGACUGGAGUGAUGCAGAGGUCGAUGGAAUUGCCGGUGUAGUGGUGAAAUGCGUAGAGAUCGGCAGGAACACCCAGGGGGGAAACCAGUCGACUGGGCAUCUACUGACGCUGAGGUGCGAGAGCGUGGGGGAGCGAACCGG
rnacentral:rRNA from 1 species